rnacentral:rRNA from 1 species
UACGGGGGGGAGCAAGCGUUGUUCGGAUUUACUGGGCGUAAAGGGCGCGUAGGCGGCGCAACAAGUCACUUGUGAAAUCCCUCGGCUUAACCGGGGAACUGCGUCUGAUACUGGAUGGCUAGAGAUUGGGAGAGGGAUGCGGAAUUCCAGGUGUAGCGGUGAAAUGCGUAGAUAUCUGGAGGAACACCGGUGGCGAAGGCGGCAUCCUGGACCAACACUGACGCUGAGGAGCGAAAGCCAGGGGAGCAAACGGG